rnacentral:rRNA from 1 species
CGGGGUGAGUAAUGUAUGGGGAUCUGCCUGAUGGCCGGGGGAUAGCUACUGGAAACGGUAGCUAAUACCGCAUAAUGUCUACGGACCAAAGCGGGGGACCGUCCGGGCCUCGCGCCAUCAGAUGAACCCAUAUGGGAUUAGCUAGUAGGUAAGGUAACGGCUUACCUAGGCGACGAUCCCUAGCUGGUCUGAGAGGAUGAUCAGCCACACUGGGACUGAGACACGGCCCAG